GGCUACAGGCACUGCCAGCCAUGUCCUGCCUCUAAAACAAAAAAAAUACCCUUUUUAGCAUUUUCACGCACACUACAACAGCAAACCUGCAGCUCUUAUUUUUAAUAUUGCAAUUUUUUUCUAGCGAUAAAAGCCUGUUUUUUUAAUAGGAAGAAGAGAAAAUGUCUUCCCUCGCGCAGGAGAGGAGGUCUGGCGUUCAGCUGCUGAGCGCGGCGCUGCUGCCGCUGCUGCUGCUCUCGCUUUCCGGUUGUUCAGGCAUGGAUGUGCUCAUGCCCAGUAACAUUAAUGCACUGAAUGGAUCAACCAUCAAAAUCCCCUGCACAUUUACUUCCUGCUAUAGGAUGGAUGCUACAAAGUUUGCCAUGAACUGGACCUACCAAGAAACACUUAAUGAUACAGAAGUGAUGUUUAUGACAUUCCAUAAGAAAAAAGGAAUGGUGCCUCUGCGUUCAGAACGGUUUGGAGACAGGGUCACGUUUGCUGGGAACCUGGAUAAGAACGACCUGUCAAUCACCCUAUCAGAUGUUCAGCUGGAGGAUGAGGGCAUUUACAACUGCUAUGUGAAAAACCCCCCAGACCGAAUCCAGGGACAUGGUGUCAUACAGCUCAAUGUUGUUACCGAACUUCCCCCGCCAAGGGAUUCAACCAUCGCAGUUGCGAUUGGGGCUUCAGUGGGUGGAGCGUUAGCUCUGCUGAUCCUUUCCAUGGUAGUAGUGAAAUGUCUUCGUCGACACCGGAAACAGGAACUGAUUUCGGAGGAGAAGAUGGAGGAGGAGGGAAAACUGGAGGCUGAUGGUGUUGCGGAGGAGGGAACCAAACAACCAUAGCUGGGCCAUGUGAUUGAAACAGCGGCCUGUGGAGCUCCUCUGGUACACCUUCUCUGACAUGUACACCCCCUUCCUGAAGAUCUGUCGUAACCACUGCUUGAAUCAUUGUCCACUGAUACUUCCAUCCCUUCUGCAUGUGCGUGUGUGUGCCACCGCACACAAGUGUGCUUCUGUGUGUGUAUGUGUGUGUGUGUGUGUGUGUACUGAAUGUGUCUCUGUGUGUGUGCGUAUUUCUAUAUGUCUGUAUGAGAUGUGUCUCUUUCCUUGAAAUGAGCCAGGGAGGACUUUUCUGCAACUUAACUACUGAACACAUAGUACUUAUUUCAUAGCUACAAGUCAGCGUCAGAAGUCUUAUCUCAUCAUGGCAUUUUCAGCGCACGCUAUAGGACAGGCUAGGGCUGGGCGGUAUGACCUAAAAUGUAUACCACAGUAUAGUUUAGGAUGGAGCAGUAACAAUAACCCAACAUCAUAAUAUCUAAUUUUAUUCCCUGAAUCUAUUAUUCAUUAACUAAUAAUAUUGUUAACAGUGGCUGUAGAGGCAGAGUUAAUGCCUGAUGGAUGUUAAAAGCUACACGUUGCAGAGCAAAUAUUGUGUCUAUAUCUGUUGUAUAGUGAUAACUUGGGCAGUUAACGCCAAUGUCGUACAGCAGCUGCAGUUCAGUUUUGAGAUUUUCUUUGACAUAGUGUGAAUCCAGUGUCUUUCAACAUUGCCUUAAAGGAAUACUUUGACGAUUGUCAACCAGCUUUGUAUCAUAUUAAUCAAUAGUAACUUCCCUUUACCUUGCCAGCACCCAGAUCUCCCUGCUCAACUCCCAGCGAAAAUGCUGGAUGAAGUGUAGGUGUCAUUCGGCGGAUCCAGCUUUAAGGCUGCCGCUCAACUAUAGAUUGUACUUCUGCAUUUGGACACAAAGAGUUUGAGAUCAAGCAGAUCUCAGAUGAUCAAACCGUAAAACUAGGCAGUGCUGUUCAAAUAUAAACCAAGUUUGUUUUCCUGUGUCGCCUUUUUCUCACCCAAAAUGUUUUCAGAAACAUAUUUUAACUUUCUGACUAACUGUAACACAAGAAUGUUUGCUACCAGUCUGCCGCCAUAUUGCUUGCGGAAGGGAAACUCUCAUUACAUUGUCCGCCAGCAGGAGUGUUUAGUGUUCUGGUGCAACACAGUGCAUUCUGGUAGUUGAACGUUUUCUGUCUCUUGAUCAAAAGCAAAUGCCACAGCCCUUUUUCUCUGUUUUCUCUGCUCAUGUAGCACGGACUUCAAAAGUAUAUGCAUCUUACUGCAUAGACAGCCCAGUUUUAUGAAAAGACCGUCUUCCCAGCAGUGAAGUACUUCUUUAAAGCCUUGUCUCUCAUCUGCCUGUAUGGGCACCAUGUCUUAAAAUAGAUGCACACUUAGAGUAUGUGUAAUCCAGAGAGUAUUCUUAAACAUUCCUCAUACCUGUCUGGAUUUUUCUUGCCCCGCAUAGUCAGUAGAAUCUGUAGACCUUUUUCACAGUGUACAUUUUGACUUGCCAUAGGGAGUAGUGGAUGAACCAGGGAGUGAUUUUAGCCCUGAAUGUUUUCUCAAAAGCCCUCAGUCUUUUAAGUUUUUAAAAUGCCUUCAACUUUGUGUCUUUCAGAUAAUAAUAUACCAGUCAGCUACAACAUUAUAACCACUGGUGGGUGAAGUGCAAAACAUUGAUCGUCUUGUUACGCUUCAGUGUUCUGCUGGGAAAGCUUGGGUCCGGGCAGUCGUGUGGACGCCACUUAAUACAUAACACACACCCUUACACCAUUGCAGACCAUGGGAGCAGCACUCCCAAUGGCAUUGGACAGUGUGCCAUCCCACACUUCAGAAGGUGAUGUGUGGCAUGGUGCAUUGUCCAGCUGGGGGGUACUUGGUCAUUCCACAGGAAUGCCAGGACCCAAGAUUUUCCUGCCGAACUUGAGAAUGUAACGAGAUGAUCAGUGUUGUUCACUUUAUCUGCCAGUGGUUUUAAUGUUUUGGCUGAUCGCUGUAUAUGCUACCGUGCUAUCCUACCACGCUACUCUCGAAAGAAAUCGAAUACAAUUGAGUGGAUGUUCUUCUGUUGGCCUUAUAAUCAAUUCAGAGCGUUGGUGACCACAUCUACUUGGCAUUGUUGCGGAUCCUUGAUUUGCAAUUAGAGUAGCCCAGAUUAGUCAUCCUCAACAUUUGUUGUGUUAGGGUUUCAGAAUGAUGAAGGCAGCUGGAGAACAAGUAGAUACAUAAUAGGAUGUAGGCUGUACAGGCUGAUUUAUUUUUGCAGUAACUAUCAUGUAUAGAUUUUAGGCAUUCUUUUAGGAUGGCGUUCUCUCAGAUGGUUUGAAAAAUAGUGCAUAUAUCUGCUUUAAAACAAACUUUUUAAGGGUUUGAGCUGAGCCCCCAAAAAUGCACAACUACACUGAUUAAUUUGCAGCGAGUUGUAGUGGUGUUUUUAGAGUACUUUAUAGCAUAUUUAAAUCUUUGUAUUUCUAUUGUAUGUCACUGGUUAUACCGUCCACCCCUAUGAAACUUCUCAGCAUCCAUCUCGGCCUUGCCUAGAGGAAUGAUAUGUUACUGUGCCUGAAUACAGAGGUUCUUCUAGCAGGCACACAUUUCAGUUCAGUCUGUUAUUUGAAGGGUUAAAAUUGAGCCUUGGUUUUAGACCGUACAAUAUCUGUGACUGCAAUACACUGUGCAAUUAUUUGCACACACUGCAUGGGGAAAAUUGUCAGUGUCAGUGUGACAGUGCUGAGCUUCCCUCGCAGAAUUCUUCCCUACAAUACAAAUAAAGCUAGCGCUGGGUGAGAAGUGUGUUGUUUGAGACAGAGUGGAAUGAGUUAUUGUUGACUUCAUGACAGCCUUUUUGUCAAAGUCAAAAACAUAUCAGAGACGAAUCACAGUAAGAACCUCACACUGCACCCACAGUUCAUGCUGGUGCCAACUGUUAGUAAUAACUAGGGUAAGAAUUAAUAAAGGUUGCCCAAACAGACACAGUUGAAGUAAUCCUGAGCAUGACCCAUAUUACUCACAGAGUUGAGUGCCAUUAACACACAGUAAUACAGGGAAUUAUACCAAAUGAACCAAAUUGAAAUAUAUGAUGCUUAUAUUCAAAACUGACAGAUAAGAGCCUACUAACAAAAAUGUGUAGAAUUUGUUAUUUUAGCAACUGGAAGCAUGUUUAGAGGACUAAACUCAAAACGAAGGAAUACUUCGCACAUCUACUUUCAAACAGGGGUGUAGGAGAGGUAAGAGAGGAACAGAAUUUGUAGAAAAGACUGCAGGAGUCAGGAGUCUUUUCUACUAGAGUACUGUACUGCCAUGAGUACAUGUCCAACAGUGCAUAUCAUAGGGCUGCCCCCGAAUAGUCGACCAAACGUUAGUCGAACAGAAAGGUUGUUAGUCAGCAACAUUUCAUUGGUCGCUUAGUUGCAG